rnacentral:tRNA from 1 species
AUCUAAAUAGCUUAUAUAGAGCGCAGCCUUGAAACUGCUGAGGAGAUAGUUUAUCUUUAGAUA